GACGAACGCUGGCGGCGUGCCUAAUACAUGCAAGUCGAGCGAAUCAAUAGGAGCUUGCUCCUGUUGGUUAGCGGCGGACGGGUGAGUAACACGUGGGCAACCUGCCUGUAAGACUGGGAUAACACCGGGAAACCGGUGCUAAUACCGGAUAAUCCUUUUCCUCACAUGAGGGAAAGCUGAAAGUCGGUUUCGGCUGACACUUACAGAUGGGCCCGCGGCGCAUUAGCUAGUUGGUGAGGUAACGGCUCACCAAGGCGACGAUGCGUAGCCGACCUGAGAGGGUGAUCGGCCACACUGGGACUGAGACACGGCCCAGUCUCCUACGGGAGGCAGCAGUAGGGAAUCUUCCACAAUGGACGAAAGUCUGAUGGAGCAACGCCGCGUGAGCGAUGAAGGCCUUCGGGUCGUAAAGCUCUGUUGUUAGGGAAGAACAAGUACCGGAGUAACUGCCGGUACCUUGACGGUACCUAACCAGAAAGCCACGGCUAACUACGUGCCAGCAGCCGCCGUAACAC
rnacentral:rRNA from 1 species